rnacentral:rRNA from 1 species
AUGGAGCAGUCUAUAAGAGCAUACAGUAAAGAUAAAACAGUAACCUUGUUCAAGCCUGAAGUAGGCAUGAUAUUUGGUUCAGCAAGCGAAGGUUACCAGUUCUACAAUUUAUAUUCAAGGGUCGUUGGGUUCAGCUUAAGGAGUGAUGACUCGUAUACUAACACCAAGGGAGAGCGAACUAUGCAAGGGUUCAGAUGCCAGCGUGAGGGCAUUGAUAAGAAGACAAAGCUCAGCAGCACCAGAUGUGGAUGUCGUGCACGGCUAAGGUUGCUUAGGUCCAAUGAUUUACUAUGGUAUGUCAAGAUAUUCAAUGAACAACACAACCAUGAUCUGGUUGAGAGUUGUGGCCAGAAGAAGCAUUUGUUUUCUCAUAGACACAUAGAUGAUUCUACCAAAACUAUGGUUAGCCUUAGCAGAAUAAAUGGCAUAGUUGGCAGCUUCUAUGGUACAACGGAUGGUGUUCCAUUCAUGAAGAAGGCUCUGAGGACUUUGUGUUCGGACAUUGCAGCUGAAGCUCUAAAAGAUGAUGUAAGAAAAACAAUUGAGGGUUUCAGAGACAAUAUAGCUCAGGACAAUAGGUUUGUUUUCUCAAUGCAGCUGGACGCCAAUAAAAAUCUAAGGUCUCUCAUGUGGACAAGUGGUCAGAGCAGAGCUCUAUAUUCUCACUUUGGUGAUGUUGUAACAUUCGAUACAACGUACGAGACCAACAUAUACAAGAUGCCGUUUAGGAUGUUCGUUGGAGUGAAUAACCACUUCCAGAGUAUUAUUUUCGCUGGAGUACUUCUUACAAACGAGACUGCAGAAUAUUUCGAUUGGGCUUUCAAGGAGUUAGUUCUGAUGAUGGGUGGUAAAGCGGAAGAAGUACACUGGAAUACCAGAAAGGUGUAUAUAGCAUCUAUUUGGUGUUAUUAA